rfam:Alcaligenes faecalis strain NCIB 8687 arsenite oxidation genes, partial sequence.
CGCUUUUUUCGCCCAGGCGGCGCUCGAUCGCGAACUGAAGAAGUAAACGCCUAUCUCGAUCAGCACCGGGAUCUGUACGGGGUCGAGCCGAUCUGCAAGGUAUUGCAGGUCGCUCCG